rnacentral:rRNA from 1 species
AGUUUGAUCCUGGCUCAGGAUGAACGCUAGCUACAGGCUUAACACAUGCAAGUCGAGGGGCAGCAUUGGAGUAGCAAUACUUCAGAUGGCGACCGGCGCACGGGUGAGUAACACGUAUCCAACCUGCCGCUUACUCGGGGAUAGCCUUUCGAAAGAAAGAUUAAUACCCGAUGGUAUAAAGAGUUCGCAUGUUCUCUUUAUUAAAGAAUUUCGGUAAGCGAUGGGGAUGCGUUCCAUUAGAUAGUUGGCGGGGUAACGGCCCACCAAGUCUACGAUGGAUAGGGGUUCUGAGAGGAAGGUCCCCCACAUUGGAACUGAGACACGGUCCAAAUCCUACGGGAGGCAGCAGUGAGGAAUAUUGGUCAAUGGACGAGAGUCUGAACCAGCCAAGUAGCGUGAAGGAUGACUGCCCUAUGGGUUGUAAACUUCUUUUAUAAGGGAAUAAAGUGAGGGACGUGUCCCUUUUUGUAUGUACCUUAUGAAUAAGGAUCGGCUAACUCCGUGCCAGCAGCCGCGGUAAUACGGAGGAUCCAAGCGUUAUCCGGAUUUAUUGGGUUUAAAGGGAGCGUAGGUUGACAUAUAAGUCAGCUGUGAAAGUUUACGGCUCAACCGUGAAAUUGCAGUUGAUACUGUAUGUCUUGAGUGUACAAGAGGUGGGCGGAAUUCGUGGUGUAGCGGUGAAAUGCUUAGAUAUCACGAAGAACUCCAAUUGCGAAGGCAGCUCACUGGGGUACAACUGACACUGAGGCUCGAAAGUGUGGGUAUCAAACAGGAUUAGAUACCCUGGUAGUCCACACAGUAAACGAUGAAUACUCGCUGUUUGCGAUAUACAGUAAGCGGCCAAGCGAAAGCAUUAAGUAUUCCACCUGGGGAGUACGCCGGCAACGGUGAAACUCAAAGGAAUUGACGGGGGCCCGCACAAGCGGAGGAACAUGUGGUUUAAUUCGAUGAUACGCGAGGAACCUUACCCGGGCUUGAAUUGCAGAGGAACAUAGUUGAAAGAUUAUGGCCGCAAGGUCUCUGUGAAGGUGCUGCAUGGUUGUCGUCAGCUCGUGCCGUGAGGUGUCGGCUUAAGUGCCAUAACGAGCGCAACCCUUAUCAUUAGUUACUAACAGGUCAUGCUGAGGACUCUAGUGAGACUGCCGUCGUAAGAUGUGAGGAAGGUGGA